rnacentral:rRNA from 1 species
AGCGUACACGGUGGAUGCCCUGGCAGUCAGAGGCGAUGAAGGACGUGCUAAUCUGCGAUAAGCGUCGGUGAGGUGAUAUGAACCGUUAUAACCGGCGAUAGGUGAUAUGAACCGUUAUAACCGGCGAUUUCCGAAUGGGGAAACCCAGUGUGUUUCGACACACUAUCAUUAACUGAAUCCAUAGGUUAAUGAGGCGAACCGGGGGAACUGAAACAUCUAAGUACCCCGAGGAAAAGAAAUCAACCGAGAUUCCCCCAGUAGCGGCGAGCGAACGGGGAGGAGCCCAGAGCCUGAAUCAGUGUGUGUGUUAGUGGAAGCGUCUGGAAAGGCGUGCGAUACAGGGUGACAGCCCCGUACACAAAAAUGCACAUAUUGUGAGCUCGAUGAGUAGGGCGGGACACGUGGUAUCCUGUCUGAAUAUGGGGGGACCAUCCUCCAAGGCUAAAUACUCCUGACUGACCGAUAGUGAACCAGUACCGUGAGGGAAAGGCGAAAAGAACCCCGGCGAGGGGAGUGAAAAAGAACCUGAAACCGUGUACGUACAAGCAGUGGGAGCCUCUUAAUGGGGUGACUGCGUACCUUUUGUAUAAUGGGUCAGCGACUUAUAUUCUGUAGCAAGGUUAACCGAAUAGGGGAGCCGAAGGGAAACCGAGUCUUAACUGGGCGUUAAGUUGCAGGGUAUAGACCCGAAACCCGGUGAUCUAGCCAUGGGCAGCCUUCACCCGGUGAUCUAGCCAUGGGCAGGUUGAAGGUUGGGUAACACUAACUGGAGGACCGAACCGACUAAUGUUGAAAAAUUAGCGGAUGACUUGUGGCUGGGGGUGAAAGGCCAAUCAAACCGGGAGAUAGCUGGUUCUCCCCGAAAGCUAUUUAGGUAGCGCCUCGUGAAUUCAUCUCCGGGGGUAGAGCACUGUUUCGGCAAGGGGGUCAUCCCGACUUACCAACCCGAUGCAAACUGCGAAUACCGGAGAAUGUUAUCACGGGAGACACACGGCGGGUGCUAACGUCCGUCGUGAAGAGGGAAACAACCCAGACCGCCAGCUAAGGUCCCAAAGUCAUGGUUAAGUGGGAAACGAUGUGGGAAGGCCCAGACAGCCAGGAUGUUGGCUUAGAAGCAGCCAUCAUUUAAAGAAAGCGUAAUAGCUCACUGGUCGAGUCGGCCUGCGCGGAAGAUGUAACGGGGCUAAACCAUGCACCGAAGCUGCGGCAGCGACACUAUGUGUUGUUGGGUAGGGGAGCGUUCUGUAAGCCUGUGAAGGUGGCGUUCUGUAAGCCUGUGAAGGUGGCCUGUGAGGGUUGCUGGAGGUAUCAGAAGUGCGAAUGCUGACAUAAGUAACGAUAAAGCGGGUGAAAAGCCCGCUCGCCGGAAGACCAAGGGUUCCUGUCCAACGUUAAUCGGGGCAGGGUGAGUCGACCCCUAAGGCGAGGCCGAAAGGCGUAGUCGAUGGGAAACAGGUUAAUAUUCCUGUACUUGGUGUUACUGCGAAGGGGGGACGGAGAAGGCUAUGUUGGCCGGGCGACGGUUGUCCCGGUUUAAGCGUGUAGGCUGGUUUUCCAGGCAAAUCCGGAAAACCAAGGCUGAGGCGUGAUGACGAGGCACUACGGUGCUGAAGCGACAAAUGCCCUGCUUCCAGGAAAAGCCUCUAAGCAUCAGGUAACAUCAAAUCGUACCCCAAACCGACACAGGUGGUCAGGUAGAGAAUACCAAGGCGCUUGAGAGAACUCGGGUGAAGGAACUAGGCAAAAUGGUGCCGUAACUUCGGGAGAAGGCACGCUGAUAUGUAGGUGAAGCGACUUGCUCGUGGAGCUGAAAUCAGUCGAAGAUACCAGCUGGCUGCAACUGUUUAUUAAAAACACAGCACUGUGCAAACACGAAAGUGGACGUAUACGGUGUGACGCCUGCCCGGUGCCGGAAGGUUAAUUGAUGGGGUUAGCGGCAACGCGAAGCUCUUGAUCGAAGCCCCGGUAAACGGCGGCCGUAACUAUAACGGUCCUAAGGUAGCGAAAUUCCUUGUCGGGUAAGUUCCGACCUGCACGAAUGGCGUAAUGAUGGCCAGGCUGUCUCCACCCGAGACUCAGUGAAAUUGAACUCGCUGUGAAGAUGCAGUGUACCCGCGGCAAGACGGAAAGACCCCGUGAACCUUUACUAUAGCUUGACACUGAACAUUGAGCCUUGAUGUGUAGGAUAGGUGGGAGGCUUUGGGAGGCUUUGAAGUGUGGACGCCAGUCUGCAUGGAGCCGACCUUGAAAUACCACCCUUUAAUGUUUGAUGUUCUAACGUUGGCCCGUAAUCCGGGUUGCGGACAGUGUCUGGUGGGUAGUUUGACUGGGGCGGUCUCCUCCUAAAGAGUAACGGAGGAGCACGAAGGUUGGCUAAUCCUGGUCGGACAUCAGGAGGUUAGUGCAAUGGCAUAAGCCAGCUUGACUGCGAGCGUGACGGCGCGAGCAGGUGCGAAAGCAGGUCAUAGUGAUCCGGUGGUUCUGAAUGGAAGGGCCAUCGCUCAACGGAUAAAAGGUACUCCGGGGAUAACAGGCUGAUACCGCCCAAGAGUUCAUAUCGACGGCGGUGUUUGGCACCUCGAUGUCGGCUCAUCACAUCCUGGGGCUGAAGUAGGUCCCAAGGGUAUGGCUGUUCGCCAUUUAAAGUGGUACGCGAGCUGGGUUUAGAACGUCGUGAGACAGUUCGGUCCCUAUCUGCCGUGGGCGCUGGAGAACUGAGGGGGGCUGCUCCUAGUACGAGAGGACCGGAGUGGACGCAUCACUGGUAUUCGGGUUGUCAUGCCAAUGGCACUGCCCGGUAGCUAAAUGCGGAAGAGAUAAGUGCUGAAAGCAUCUAAGCACGAAACUUGCCCCGAGAUGAGUUCUCCCUGACUCCUUGA